AUGUCAAAUCGCCGUGUCUCGCCGCCGGAGCCGUUCAUCGGCGUCAGCAUGGAGCGGUUUGAGGCCAGCCUGGAGAGCGACGGCUUCGGACCCGGGUCGCUGGGGCCCGGCAUGGACAUGGUGAGGACCGUCGUCCAAUGCUCCCUCCCCAUGCCGCCCGUCUCCCACGCCGCCCCUCUCGCGCUCGCCGGCGCGGCCUGGCUCCCCGGCGGCGCCGACCGCAUCAGCGCCCUCCCCGACCGCCUCCUCCGCGACAUCACCUCCCGCCUCCCCGCCGCGGACGGCGCGCGCACCGCGGCGCUCGCCUCGUGCUGGCGCCCCCUCUGGCGCUCGGCGCCCCUCGUCGUCGCCGACACCCACUUCCUCCCCAACGGCCGGUGGAUCCCCGGUGUCGGCGAGGAGGAUUCGCCCGGGGUCGCCGACCUCGUCACCCGCGCACCCGGGGCCCUUCCGCUGCGUCCACCUCACACGCACCACCAUGGACGCGCACCGGGGCGAGAUCGCGCGCUGGCUCGACGUCCUCGCCGCCAAGGGCGUCCAAGAGCUCGCCUUUAUCAACCGCCCGUGGCCGCUCGACAUCCGCCUCCCCGCCACGCUCUUCCGCUGCGCUGCGCCCCCCUCACCCGCCUCUUCCUCAGCGCAUGGAGGCUCCCGGACACGGCCGCCGUCCCGCGCUCCGCCGCCAUCCCCAACCUCCGGGAGCUCGGCCUCUCCCUCGUCGUCGUGGAGGACCGCGACCUCGCCUUCCUGCUCGACAGAAGCCCCGUCCUGGAUAUCCUCACCGUCAUUCUGUCACAGGUCCCGGUGGUGGACGCCCCUCGCCUGGAGAGCCUCUUGCAGUGGACGGGCCUCACCAGUAUGUCCCGGAGGUGCUGCAGGGUUAAGAUUGUCCAUGCGCCCAAGCUGCGUGUUAUUGGAUACCUUCAGCCAGGAGAACAUGACUUGGAGAUUGGCAACACCUCUAUCAAGGCUGGGACUAAGUUGACCACCAGCACCCUUGUCCCGAGUGUCGAGAUCCUGGCCUUGGAACUUAAAUUCCAAGUCCGCAGUGACCUCAAGAAAGUGCCUAACUUCCUCCCAUGUUUUCCCAACGUCGAGACGCUCCAUAUCCAGUCUGAAAAGGCGUGUGAGGAGCCUACCGGCAAGGUCGGUCUCAAGUUUUGGCUGGAGGGCAGUCCCAUUACGUGUAUCCGGCAGCAAAUGAAGAAGUUGAAAUGA
rnacentral:rRNA from 1 species